GUUGCUCAAAUCUUCACAUACCUCUCCGUGGUGAGCAGCAGGCAACGGUCUUAUGACUGGCUGAGAUGUGAAA
rnacentral:ribozyme from 1 species